rnacentral:rRNA from 1 species
GAUGAACGCUGGCGGCGUGCCUAACACAUGCAAGUCGAGCGAAGCAUUUAAAGGAAGUUUCGGAUGGAAUUUGAAAUGACUGAGCGGCGGACGGUGAGUAACGCGUGGUAACCUGCCUCAUACAGGGGAUAACAGUUAGAAAUGACUGCUAAUACCGCAUAAGCACACAGUACCGCAUGGUACAGAGUGAAAAACUCCGGUGGUAUGAGAUGGACCCGCGUCUGAUUAGCUGGUUGGCGGGUAACGGCCCACCAAGGCGACGAUCAGUAGCCGACCUGAGAGGGUGAUCGGCCACACUGGAACUGAGACACGGCCCAG